GGAGUGGCCGAUGCCUGAUUAGCUAGUUGGUGGGGUAAAGGCCUACCAAGGCGACGAUCAGUAGUUGGUCUGAGAGGACGACCAGCCACACUGGGACUGAGACACGGCCCAGACUCCUACGGGAGGCAGCAGUGGGGAAUUUUGGACAAUGGGCGAAAGCCUGAUCCAGCAAUGCCGCGUGAGUGAAGAAGGCCUUCGGGUUGUAAAGCUCUUUCAGUCGAGAAGAAAAGAUUGUGAUGAAUAAUCACAGUUCAUGACGGUAUCGACAGAAGAAGCACCGGCUAACUACGUGCCAGCAGCCGCGGUAAUACGUAGGGUGCAAGCGUUAAUCGGAAUUACUGGGCGUAAAGGGUGCGCAGGCGGCUUUGUAAGUCAGAUGUGAAAUCCCCGGGCUUAACCUGGGAAUU
rnacentral:rRNA from 1 species